rnacentral:rRNA from 1 species
AACGAACGCUGGCGGCAGGCUUAACACAUGCAAGUCGAGCGCCCCGCCAGGGGAGCGGCUGACGGGUGAGUACCGCGUGGGAACGUAUCUUUUGGUUCGGAACAACUCCGGGAAACUGGAGCUAAUACCGGAUAAGCCCUAACGGGGAAAGAUUUAUCGCCGAAAGAUCGGCCCGCGUCUGAUUAGCUAGUUGGUGAGGUAACGGCGCACCAAGGCGACGAUCAGUAGCUGGUCUGAGAGGAUGAUCAGCCACACUGGGACUGAGACACGGCCCAGACUCCUACGGGAGGCAGCAGUGGGGAAUAUUGGACAAUGGGCGCAAGCCUGAUCCAGCCAUGCCGCGUGAGUGAUGAAGGCCUUAGGGUUGUAAAGCUCUUUUGUCCGGGAAGAUAAUGACGGUACCGGAAGAAUAAGCCCCGGCUAACUUCGUG